UGAACAGUAGCUCAAUGGUAGAGCUCCUGCUUCGUUUGCAGGAAGACCUGGGUUCGAUUCCCGGUUGCUUAC
rnacentral:tRNA from 1 species